CACCAGCGCCACAAGUGGGAACCACUUUUAUUGGGCUUAAAGCAUCCGUAGCCUGUUCGAUAAAUCUUCUGUGAAACUGUUAGACUUAAUUUAACAACGUGCAGAAGACACUGUUGAACUUGGAACUGGGAGGAGUUAGAGGUACUUCAAGGGGAGCGGUAAAAUGCUAUAAUCCUUGAAGGACCGCCAGUGGCGAAGGCGUCUAACUAGAACAGCUUCGACGGUGAGGGAUGAAAGCUAGGGGAGCAAACCGGAUUAGAUACCCGAGUAGUCCUAGCCGUAAACGCUGCGAGCUAGAUGUUGCACCUUCUAUGAGAAGAUGCAGCAUCGAAACGAAAGUGCUAAGCUCGCCGCCUGGGAAGUAUAGUCGCAAGACCGAAACUUAAAGAAAUUGGCGGGGGAGCGCUACAACGAGUGAGGCGUGCGGUUUAAUCUAAUUCCACGCAGAUAACCUCACCAGAGGCGACGGCAGAAUGAAGGUCAGUCUGAAGGGCUCACCUAACAAGCCGAGAGGUAUUGCAUGGCCGCCGUCAGCUAGUGUUGUGAAAUGUCCUGUUAAGUCAGGUAACUAGCGAGACCUAUAUCUACAAUUGCUAGCAAGCUAUGUGAUUGAGCACAUUGUAGAAACUGCCUGGGAAACCAGGAGGAAGGUGUAGGCAACGGUAGGUCUGUAUGGUCCGAAUCCUCUGGGCUACACGCGCGCAACAAUGGUAGGGACAAUGGGACGCGAUUCCGAAAGGAAAAGCUAAACCUCUAAAUCCUAUCUUAGUUCAGAUUGAGGCUUGUAACUCAGCCUCAUGACGCCGGAAUUCGUAGUAAUCAGGCUUAAGCAUAGCCCGGNGAAUAUGUCCCCGCUCC
rnacentral:rRNA from 1 species